UGGUCCUAGCCCUACAAUCAACUAUUACUUAACUUAUACAUGCAAGUAUCCGCACCCCCGUGAAAACGCCCUUAAAUUUCUUCUAGAAAUAAGGAGCCGGUAUCAGGCACAAUACAAGCCCAAAACACCUAGCUACGCCACAUCCCCACGGAAACUCAGCAGUAAUUAAUAUUGAAAAUAAGCGACAGCUUGAUUCAGUUAAAGUAAAAAGAGCCGGCAAAUCUGGUGCCAGCCGCCGCGGUUACACCAUGUGGCUCAAAUUGAUUUUUUUCGGCGUAAAGCGUGGUUAAAGUCACCAAAAUUAUAGUUAAACCACAACUAAGCCGUAAUACGCUUGUGUUUAAGAAGAUCAAAAACGAAAGUUACUAUAAUUAAACCAACUUGAACCCACGACAGUUAGGUCACAAACUGGGAUUAGAUACCCCACUAUGCCUCUCCGUAAACUUUAAAUCACAUCCAUAUCGCCUGGGAACUACGAGCAAAGCUUAAAACCCAAAGGACUUGACGGUACCCCACAUCCACCUAGAGGAGCCUGUCCUAUAAUCGAUGACCCCCGUUUAACCUCACCAUUUUUAGCCUAACAGCCUGUAUACCUCCGUCGUCAGCUUACCACGUGAGCGACCCUCAGUAAGCUCAAUGUCUAUUCACCAAUACGUCAGGUCAAGGUGCAGCAAAUAAAAUGGGAAGAGAUGGGCUACACUCUCUACCCUAGAGUAAACGAAAAACUAUUUAUGAAAUCUAGUCAGAAGGAGGAUUUAGCAGUAAAAGGAGACAAGAGAGCCCCUUUUAACAUGGCACUGGGGUGUGUACACACCGCCCGUCACUCUCUUCGAAGCCAACAAAAAGUUCAUAACACACUACAGCCUAAGAGAAGAGACAAGUCGUAACAUGGUAAGCAUACCGGAAGGUGUGCUUGGAAA
rnacentral:ncRNA from 1 species